CUAUGAAUAAGCGACUUGGAAAUGAGGAUUAAUGCCUUACCAAAGGGCAUGAGCGCACUGACUUGGUUUCGAACCACAUCUUUUAAAUCUAGGGCAAAAAUGAAACAACACAAAAUGUAGACUUUAUGAUGGUUUCGAGAAACUAUAGUCCCAAUUCCGCCAGUCUGAAAUGAGACGAAUCUCGACGAACAGCUGAUCGCUCGGAGGUCAUUGAACUUUGCGGGCUGUAUAAUUUCAAACAUGUGUUGCCGAAUAGUUCUCUGUCAUCUUCUCUCUUGAGAUUUUGAGUUGACUUUCGAAAAGUUUUGGAAUCAAGGAAAAACUGUAUUUAGUCUUGGACUUGAAAUGAACGAGUGAUUGAACACACACAAGGAACUACCAGCGGAUAUGUGAAAGGCCUCGGCAUUUCCUGUCAUUUGGAUAAUUAAAACCACCUCUACCAAGCCAAGGGCUUACCUACAUGUAGUACUACCUCCCUCUCUACAGCUUCCCUGUUGGAUUAUACCACUUUUAUGCUGCUGAAUACUUGACAAUCAUCAACCAAUCUUUAUAUGGUAAUUUUUUGUGAGUUUUAGCCUUGGAAAAAUAUGUGCAUGACGGCCUUGUGUUGCUACAUAUUGCUCAUUAUUGUGCAUGUUUUUGUGACCUGCAUUGAACCUAAUACAUGAAGCUGUAAACUGCUAAAAAAAAUAGUUUAGAUAAUUGUUUAAAAAAUAAGUAGUUGCAAACAUUAACAAGUUUCAUUGAUGGAAAGUAGGCAUGCAUGCAACCAAAGUUUGUAUAGCCAGUGACUUCAGGUUAUGACGGGGAUGCAGAUAAAUUGCUGCAAGACAAAAACAGGGUGGUAUUUUGUUCACAGUUCCGAACAAAAGUUUUAAAUGCAGAACAAAAAGUGUUGUUCUUUGCAAAACCAGCUCAAAGCCCUGUUAUGAACAUAAAAAACUUGUGAAACCGCUAAAGGGGGGUCCAGAAUCAGAUGCUAUUUCAGUAACGUGAGAGGUCCCGUCCAGUAGGAGGGUCAAUGGUCAGUCCCAAUCUAAAUACCGUUGAGCAAUUUCUGGGGAAAGAAAAACUGACCAGUUAUUAUUUAUUCUGAGGAAUCACAGCAUCCCAAUUUAUGAUAAAUGAUUCAUCCGUAAUGGGAUGAUAUCUCUUGAAUGACCAAAGGGUUCUUGACUUUUAACUGAGCGGAGGGGAGGAAAAAAAA